AUUUUAUUUUAAAAUAUAAUUUAUAUUUAUCUGUUAAAAAAUAUUUUAAAUUUUUUUACCGCACAUGGUGCAGGAAGACACCUAGUAUAACAUUAAACCACUAAACAACAUAUCUUAGAUUUAACCAUCAUUCCCUAUACAUUUUUAAAUAUUAAACCGUAUACAAAAAUUUUAUAAAAUAAAAUAUCAAUAUAUGAAAAAAUGAUACACUGUUAAAAAAAAAAAUAUAUAUAUAUAUACUUUUUUUAAAAAAUUGUACACCAUAAACUAUAUUUGUUUAAACGAGUAAAAGCCAACAGUUCAUAUUUAUUUUCCUCUCUAUCUCACUUCCUUUUACGUUACUCUUUUCUUUUUCAGUAGCUAUCAUCGUGAUUAUUUUCUAUUGGUUAAUACAAAAAAGUGAGGAUAGCCUCUUUUCUAAUCUUAACCGUUGAUGAAUAUAAUCUAAGGGACAUAAACAUUUUGCUUUCUUUUAAUGGUUUUCUCGCUCGAUCUCUACUCCUCUCCUAUUCUACCGCCGUAAACCUGGAAAAAAAAACAAAGCUCCAUCUUCUCUUCUCCUUUCGAUUGUGGAAUAAACCCUAUGCAACCCAGAAAAAUUCUCCAUCUUCUAUGAACCGUGUCGACUCCACUUCUCACCUUCGUUCACGUCUCGAGCCCAAGAGAAUCUCCAAUUGUAACCGAAUCUGACAUCGACUAAGCCAUCGAGAAGGUGGAAUCUUGAGGAAGGUGGAAGAGACAGAUGAAACUUGAUGAAGGUGGAGAAGUCACGGAGCAUGAGGAAGGCGGAGAAGGUUCGGAAUGCGCGACCAGAGCUUGAGAAAGGCGGCGGGUGCGAAGGUUCAGAAUGCUACCGAAGAGACACACGGAGGUUGAGGAAGUUUAGGUUUAGGCAGAGCUAGGGAUAUUAAAGUGGGUAAACCCACCCCAUUUAGAAUCCAAACCCUUUUAGACUAGGGAUGUUAAAAUGGGUAAACCCACCCCUAUUUAGACCCACCCCAUUUAGAACCAUCCCAUUUAGAAUUCAAACCCGUUUAGACCCAUUUAGUUUUAAAGUCUAUUAAGGCUCUCCAUUUUAACCCACAAAUUUUACUUUGACCCAUUUAACUCUUUUUUUUAAUUUGUCUUAUACCUUUCUUGUUUUAAUUAUACUGUAAAACGAUUUUUAUAGUACAAAAUUUUAUAUUCUUAAAUAAUACUGUAAUUUUUAAUGGUCA